GGGAAAUCUUACCGGGUCCGGACACACUGAGGAUUGACAGGUGAACGUAGUUAGCUUGCUAUCUACUGCAAAUAUGCUAGUCCUUUCAUGAUUGUGUGAUAGGUGGUGCAUGGCCGUUCUUAGUUCGUGGAGUGAUCUGUCUGCUUAAUUGCGUUUCAGAUAAAGGUCUUUUGUAGUGCGUCUUUGGUGUGACCGUCUUCGGACGAUGUCCCCAUUGGCGGCUCAUUGACUUUGAAGGCAACGA
rnacentral:rRNA from 1 species